rnacentral:rRNA from 1 species
GGGCUCAACCCCGGGACUGCUUUGGAAACUGUGGUGCUAGAGUGCAGGAGAGGUAAGUGGAAUUCCUAGUGUAGCGGUGAAAUGCGUAGAUAUUAGGAGGAACACCAGUGGCGAAGGCGGCUUACUGGACUGUAACUGACGUUGAGGCUCGAAAGCGUGGGGAGCAAACAGGAUUAGAUACCCUAGUAGUCCACGCUGUAAACGAUGAUUACUAAGUGUCGGGAAACCGGUGCUGAAGCUAACGCAUUAAGUAAUCCACCUGAGUAGUACGGUCGCAAGACUGAAACUCAAAGGAAUUGACGGGCACCCGCACAAGCGGUGGAGCAUGCUGUUUAAUUCGAAGAUACGCGAAGAACCUUACCUAGACUUGACAUCCCCGGCAAAGCUAUAGAAAUAUAGUGGAGGUUACCCGGGUGACAGGUGGUGCAUGGUUGUCGUCAGCUCGUGUCGUGAGAUGUUCGGUUAAGUCCGAUAACGAGCGCAACCCUUAUCUUUAGUUGCUAACAUUUAGUUGAGUUCUCUAAAGAUACUGCCGGUGACAAACCGGAGGAAGGUGGGGAUGACGUCAAAUCAUCAUGCCCCUUACGUCUAGGGCAACAGGCGUGCUACAAUGGCUGGUACAAAAAGAUGCAAUACCGUGAGGUGGAGCAAAUCUAAAAAACCAGUCCCAGUUCGGAUUGGAGUCUGCAACUCGACUCCAUGAAGUUGGAAUCGCUAGUAAUCCUGGAUCAGAAUGCCAGGUGAAUACGUU